rnacentral:lncRNA from 1 species
UCCAGUCUUCACCCUACCAUGCUCUCUCUCUCUCUCUCUCAUCGUCCUAGCGACGUGUGUCCCCAACUAUGUACAUGCACGGGACCGAUAGGUGAACGAGCGUGAGCUACCUAGGAUUCAGAAGCUCCAUCGAUCUCGGAGCAGCAGACGAGCGCAGCCAGCUACCUAGCAGGACCCGUCGGCGGUGACCACCAGGACGCCGAGGUCGUCCCUCCGAUGCCUGGCGGCCCGACACGAAUAAGCGGGCCAGGUUCGAACAAGAAACUAAGCAUGGUAGGCUGGCCCGGCACGGCCUGUUUACCUCUAAGCCCGUUAAGUCCGCUUUUUGUACUAAAUCGUGCUUACCGGCCCGCUUUUUUCGUGCUUACCGGGCCGAACUCGGACAGAGAAACGAGCCCGUAGGUUUAAAUGGCUCGACCCGGUUUUCUAACCGUGCCUGAUGGAGCGGGCCCAAAACAUACCGGACUUCACGGGCCCGGGUCGGACGGCCCGUUUGGCCAUCUCCGGCUCUGGCAAGGUCUACACAUAGUCAAACACUUUUCUAUGGGGAGCUGUUUGGCCAUCUCCGGCUCUGGCAAGGUCUACACAUAGUCAAACACUUUUCUAUGGGGAGCUGUUUUUAAGGUAGGGGAUGGUGAGACUCGUAAAUUUUGGCAAGAUUGUUGGUUGCAUGAGGUUUAACCAACAUAGGAGUCCUUAGUCGGGUCGCGGGGAUCAUAUAGAAGUCAGGAAGUGUAAAGUGCCUUCAAGAUUAAAUUGUUUUUUGGCAGGCUUUUUUAAUAUUAAACUUCAGGUGGCCCAAUCUCUAGCCAAGAUCAAAUUACAGUUUACAAGCAUCUUCCAGUCUUCACCCUACCAUGCUCUCUCUCUCUCUCUCAUCGUCCUAGCGACGUGUGUCCCCAACUAUGUACAUGCACGGGACCGAUAGGUGAACGAGCGUGAGCUACCUAGGAUUCAGAAGCUCCAUCGAUCUCGGAGCAGCAGACGAGCGCAUCCAGCUACCUAGCAGGACCCGUCGGCGGUGACCACACCAGGACGCCGAGGUCGUCGCUCC